AGUAGUACCUGCCCACUGAAAUUUUAAAGGGCUGCAGUAUUUUAACUGUACAAAGGUAGCAUAAUCAUUAGUUUUUUAAUUGAAAGCUAGAAUGAAUGGUUUGAUGAAAAAAUUUCUGUUUCAAUAUUAAUUUUUUAAAAUUUUAUAUUUAAGUUAAAAAGCUUAAAUUGAUUUAAAAGACGAGAAGACCCUAUAGAAUUUUAUUUUUUAUUUAAUUUUAAAAUUAAAGUAUUUAAAAGUUUAAAUUUAUUUAAAAAUUUAAUUGGGGUGAUUGAAAAAUUUAAUUAACUUUUUUUUUAUAUACAUUUAUUUAUGAUUUUUUGAUCCAUUAAAAUGAUUAUAAAAUU
rnacentral:rRNA from 1 species